rnacentral:rRNA from 1 species
GAUCAGUGGCUCAGAACGAACGCUGGCGGCAUGGAUUAGGCAUGCAAGUCGAACGAAGCAGCAAUGUUUAGUGGCGCGAGGGUGAGGAACACGUGAGUGACCUACCCGCAAGUUUGGAACAGCUCCUGGAAACGGGAAUUAAUACUGGAUGUGAUCAUAGAGCUGCAUGGUUUUAUGAUUAAAGCAGCAAUGCGCUUGCGGAUGGGCUCGCGUCCCAUUAGCUAGUUGGUGAGGUAACGGCCCACCAAGGCCAUGAUGGGUAGCUGGUCUGAGAGGACGACCAGCCACACUGGGACUAAGAACUGCCCAGACUCCUACGGGAGGCUGCAGUCGAGAAUUUUGGGCAAUGGACGAAAGUCUGAACCCCCAGCAAUGCCGCGUGCGGGAUGAAGGUCUUCGGAUUGUAAACCGCUGUUUGGAGGGACGAAAAUUGACGGUACUUCCAGAGGAAGCCACGGCUAACUACGUGCCAGCAGCGGC